ensembl:lncRNA
UAUAAGAACAAAUUUUAUUUUAUGUCCUUAGUAACAUUUAAGUUGUUGGAAUAAUUUUGGUUGGAGAAGAAGGAAAAGAAAGUUGUUUGCAGAAUCUUGAUUCUUAAGAACAAGUAACUGAAUUCUCCAACAAUACUGAUUAAAAUACUUUUAAUCUUCAUAACCCAGGUAGCUAAGCCCUUGACUGCAAGCUGCAGGUAGCCCAGAUCUAAAUGACAAAUCUAAUGUAGUUUCUGUUGAAUGGUAGAAAUUAUUGUCUACUGUUCACAAAGCAUUUUAAAAACAAAAAUAGUCACUAUUUCCUACAAAUUCUGCCAGAAUGUUGUUUUCUUUCUUUCCUUCUUUAAAAAAAUGUUUUAAAUACUUGUUUCUAUCAGUAAGUUUGAGUACAGCAUGAAUCCCCUGAUACCACUUCUUUUCCUUUCUGUUAUUAGUUUUGUAACAUUAUUAUGUAACUUACUGAAUAGGAAUUCUUGAUAAUAUAGUAAGGGUAUUGGUGAUUUAAAAAAUUGAAACAAAAUCUUAGCUUUUUAUUGAAGGACUUUGAUAAACGUUGAAUUCUAAACCCUGAGUAUAUCAUUAUAAUUCCUUAAGGUGGCCCCAUUUACUUCCCAAUUUACUAUUAUAGAGGAAUAAAACUCCAAAAACUGAGAUUACUGUAGAGGACAAUCUUUCUCCUAAUAAUGGUUUGCAAAUCUGAGACCUAAGGAGCAAUGUAUGUGGUAAGGGGGAAAGGAGAUUGCUAGAUUCUGUCAGAUCUCAAACUUGCAUUUAAUGGGAAUUUUUUCUAACAUCUUGAAUUUCUCUUAUUUUAGGAUUACUAUAAUAAAUCAGUUGACAUCAUGAAGGAUUUUAGUGCUUUCCUAGAUAGGAGAUUCAAGAAUUGGGCUCAUAAAAUCUGCUCCCAAAAAUAUCUAACUGAAGACCUGUCCUGCCAGUUUCCCCCCCAGCACAGUGUGCCUCAUUUCUGCUCUCCAUCCUAAACUCCUUUAAGGGGGUGUUGAAAAUAAGCAGCUGCAGCAGCACAUGAUUUAGUCUUUGUAGAAGUAGAUGGCAAGUGCCAAUUUCUAGUUGACAAAGUUUAGAGGAUGAGUAGCUCAGUCAAAUGCCAAAGUAUUAUGGCUCUAGCAGUUACCUGGGCCAUUUUUUUACAGCUGCUCCAACGUGGGCACUUAAUUUUCAGAUUCUUAGUAGAGUCAUUUUUCUUUUCUGAACUUAAAAAAUAAAAGAUCAUAUCCACAUUGUAUUCCCCUUCAGACCUUCCUACAUAUACACUCACCAAUACUGACACGUGCAGGCUCCCUGCGACUUUAAAUUUGCAUCAGAUAAUUCAAAUUAAUGGUUGCAGUAAUGAAGACAUCACCUCUUGAUAAAAUCCUAAAUCCCUUUCAUGUGUUGAGAAUAAAGAAGAGUAGAUAUGCAGUUAUGGAUAUAGACAAAGGAGUUCUGAGUAAUCUUAUGUGAGGGUCAAUCCUGAUGAUAUUUCAGCUUAUAAUUCCAUGUUAAAUAAACAUACAGACAAAACCAAGAGAUUUAAGCUUUCAGUUCUGCUGCAACUUUCAGAUACCAGCCCUAAUCAUGAUGGUUUUAGGGAAUCUGGUGUGGCCCCAAAUAUAAAGGGUCCAUAAAAAGAAAAUCUUGGGCCUGGGCCUAAUAUGAGAGUUGGAAUUUCAUAUAUAAACUUCUUUUUAGAGCAUGCUUUUUCAGCAGAAUUGAUACCAACUCUCAGGGGUGAACAGUGACCAAAAACCCCUUACUUUUUAAUGUAUAAAGCACAGAAAUACAGGACAUAAGUAGAUAGGCAGUAAUAUAAAAUUCUCAUGGUGGAAGAGACUAGGAGAAAAUGACUAAAAAGUUCUUUGUAGAUACUGGGGAUAAUGAAAAGAAUGUUGAGAAACACUGCUCUUAAGUGUACUCAUGUAGACAUGGGCCAAAC